GUCUGAAUAAAUGAUGGUGAUUUUGACACUAUGAUGAUGAUCAUUAAGAUGAUUCGGACAUAUGAUAUGUUUAUACUUAAUUUUUUAUUUUUAGGGUGGUUAUGAUGAAACGUACAGUAUCGUCUUCUAUGAAUGCAACAUUGAGUGAAAACUGCAGCACCUCAAAGAUGAAGGCUACAUCAGCUCUGAGAGAUACAGAGUGUUCAAAGCUCUCUGACAUCAGCUCAGAGGAAAAUGUUGUUUCCUGUAUCAUUAUCACAUUUAUUUCUCAUGUAGAGCUUCAUUGCUUAAAUGAAUAACAUCUUUAUCAAAGCAGACAUUAGCAUGGUGAACUGGUCUACUGCAUUGAUAGAAACAAAGAAAUCAGAAACUGAAUAAAGUUAGAAGAUAACAUCUCCUGUAUCACAAUGUUUGAAAUAAUAAAUAUAUCCUACAUAACAACAAA